AGGGUUUGAUCAUGGCUCAGGAUGAACGCUAGCGACAGGCCUAACACAUGCAAGCCGAGGGGUAACGAUUUAGUAGCUUGCUACUAAAGUCGACGACCGGCGCACGGGUGAGUAACGCGUAUGCAAUCUGCCCUUUACAGGAGAAUAGCCCGGAGAAAUUCGGAUUAAUGCUCCAUAGUAUUAUUUUAAAGCAUUUUAGAAUAAUUAAAAGAUUCGUCUGGUAAAGGAUGAGCAUGCGUAUGAUUAGAUAGUUGGUAGGGUAACGGCCUACCAAGUCUACGAUCAUUAGGGGUUCUGAGAGGAUAGUCCCCCACACUGGUACUGAGACACGGACCAGACUCCUACGGGAGGCAGCAGUGAGGAAUAUUGGUCAAUGGGUGAGAGCCUGAACCAGCCAAGUCGCGUGCAGGAUGACUGCCCUAUGGGUUGUAAACUGCUUUUAUAUAAGAAUAACAGUUUCUUCGUGAAGAGAUUUGAAGGUAUUAUAUGAAUAAGGACCGGCUAACUCCGUGCCAGCAGCCGCGGUAAUACGGAGGGUCCAAGCGUUAUCCGGAUUUAUUGGGUUUAAAGGGUGCGUAGGCGGGUAAAUAAGUCAGUGGUGAAAGUCUGUCGCUUAACGAUAGAAUUGCCAUUGAAACUGUUUGUCUUGAAUACAGUAGAGGUAGGCGGAAUAUAUUGUGUAGCGGUGAAAUGCAUAGAUACGAUAUAGAACACCUAUUGCGAAGGCAGCUUACUAUGCUGUAAUUGACGCUGAUGCACGAAAGCGUGGGUAGCGAACAGGAUUAGAUACCCUGGUAGUCCACGCCGUAAACGAUGAUCACUGGAUGUUGGCGAUAUAUUGUCAGUGUCUGAGCGAAAGUAUUAAGUGAUCCACCUGGGGAGUACGUUGGCAACAAUGAAACUCAAAGGAAUUGACGGGGGCCCGCACAAGCGGAGGAACAUGUGGUUUAAUUCGAUGAUACGCGAGGAACCUUACCCGGACUUAAAUGUAGAGUGCAUGAGCUAGAGAUAGUUCUUUCUACGGACUCUCUACAAGGUGCUGCAUGGUUGUCGUCAGCUCGUGCCGUGAGGUGUCGGGUUAAGUCCCAUAACGAGCGCAACCCCUAUCGUUAGUUACCAUCAGGUUAUGCUGGGGACUCUAGCGAGACUGCCACCGUAAGGUGUGAGGAAGGUGGGGAUGACGUCAAAUCAGCACGGCCCUUACGUCCGGGGCUACACACGUGUUACAAUGGUAAGGACAAAGGGCAGCUACCUAGUGAUAGGAUGCGAAACUUAAAACCUUAUCUCAGUUCGGAUCGGAGUCUGCAACUCGACUCCGUGAAGUUGGAUUCGCUAGUAAUCGGAUAUCAGCAACGAUCCGGUGAAUACGUUCCCGGGCCUUGUACACACCGCCCGUCAAGCCAUGGAAGCUGGGGGUACCUGAAGUCUGUAACCGCAAGGAGCGGCCUAGGGUAAAACUAGUAACUGGGGCUAAGUCGUAACAAGGUAACCA
rnacentral:rRNA from 1 species